AACGAACGCUGGCGGCAGGCCUAACACAUGCAAGUCGAACGCAUCUUCGGAUGAGUGGCAGACGGGUGAGUAACGCGUGGGAAUUUGCCCAUUGGUUUGGGAUAACUCAGGGAAACCUGGGCUAAUACCGGAUAAGCCCUUCGGGGGAAAGAUUUAUCGCCGAUGGAUAAGCCCGCGUAAGAUUAGCUAGUUGGUGGGGUAAUGGCCUACCAAGGCAACGAUCUUUAGCUGGUCUGAGAGGAUGAUCAGCCACACUGGGACUGAGACACGGCCCAGACUCCUACGGGAGGCAGCAGUGGGGAAUAUUGGACAAUGGGGGCAACCCUGAUCCAGUCAUGCCGCGUGAGUGAUGAAGGCCUUAGGGUUGUAAAGCUCUUUCGCUAGGGAAGAUAAUGACGGUACCUAGUAAAGAAGCCCCGG
rnacentral:rRNA from 1 species